rnacentral:tRNA from 1 species
GGGGAGAUUCCUGAGCGGUCAAAGGGGGCAGACUGUAAAUCUGUUGCUUCGGCUUCGUAGGUUCGAAUCCUGCUCUCCCCA